rnacentral:hammerhead_ribozyme from 15 species
CAGGCGUCUAAGGUAGAUUUCCAUUACAACGCCUCACUGAUGAGUCCAGUAGUGGAAAUCGGGACGAAACGCCAA